rnacentral:rRNA from 1 species
GCCUAACACAUGCAAGUCGAGCGGAAACGACACUAACAAUCCUUCGGGUGCGUUAAUGGGCGUCGAGCGGCGGACGGGUGAGUAAUGCCUAGGAAAUUGCCUUGAUGUGGGGGAUAACCAUUGGAAACGAUGGCUAAUACCGCAUAAUGCCUACGGGCCAAAGAGGGGGACCUUCGGGCCUCUCGCGUCAAGAUAUGCCUAGGUGGGAUUAGCUAGUUGGUGAGGUAAUGGCUCACCAAGGCGACGAUCCCUAGCUGGUCUGAGAGGAUGAUCAGCCACACUGGAACUGAGACACGGUCCAGACUCCUACGGGAGGCAGCAGUGGGGAAUAUUGCACAAUGGGCGAAAGCCUGAUGCAGCCAUGCCGCGUGUAUGAAGAAGGCCUUCGGGUUGUAAAGUACUUUCAGUUGUGAGGAAGGGGGUGUAGUUAAUAGCUGCAUCUCUUGACGUUAGCAACAGAAGAAGCACC